AUGCAAUUGACUGAUACUCCUCAACCCAAGCCAAAGGAUCCCUUCUCAAAGAAGCAAAAAUUCAAGGCUGAUGACUUCUUCGGCGAGCAUGUGUUCUUCACCGACUACAACCCAUAUGACUCUGCUCGUCUUAGAAGGAAGCGUUUCUGGACUGCCAGCCAUGCCAAUUUCUAUUCUUCACUGCUUUUCAACAAAGACAAAGUCUUCGACCACAAGCAUAUUCCUCAUGUUGACAUGGAAUCACUGCCUUGCUUCACCCCAGUCCUUAGUGUGCUUCAUGAUGCAGGAUUGCUUAACUUUUGCACUGACAUUGUUGAUUGGAAUGAAGAGCUAAUUCUUCAGUUCUAUAAAACGCUGCACAUCACAGGAGAUGCCGACGAUGUGAACUCUUGGGUUUUGGACUGGAUGACCGAAAAUACUCACUACAAAGCACCGGCCUCUAAAUUGCUUCAUGCCCUGCCUGUCAGUCCUCCCCUUGAAGGAGCUCGUUGUUGUACCAUGAACCUGAACUCACUGCUCAUUACAUGCAAGUACUGA
rnacentral:rRNA from 1 species